CUAAAGAAAAAAAAGAAAUGUAAAACAUUUUUUUUUAAGUCGAAAUAUUAUGUUGUGUUAUUUAUUUAGUUUUAUAAGUAUUAGUCACUGUGUUCGUUUUGAUUGUGUAGUGCAGGUUGUCUUAUUUAUUGUUAGCACUUUUGGACUAAUUUAAAAUCUUUGUUUUUGCUCAUUUUUAUAAAUUUAAGUUUUAAUUUUUAUAAAUUAGUCUCAAAUAUUCAACACCUUAUAAUAUUUCAGAAAUUACAUUUAUAUUUUUAAGUAAGGAGUAGCAUCGAUCUUUCAAAAUAUACACAUUUUUUGUAAUUUUUAAUGUUAUUUUUAGUUAAAAAAAUAUUUCAUUAUAAUUACAAAGUCAUCUAGUCUUAUGCUAUUUUAUAUGUAUGUAUCUUUUAUCAAUAAGUAGGUAUAAUUUAUAUGUAUGCCUAUUUAGAGUACGUUUAUACAAAAUAUCGAACGAUUGUUGAUACAUUAAUUUUAUCUAUAGAAAUAUUUUAAAUAUUAGUAAUAAACGAAUUUUUUGGUCCU